UACGUAGGGGGCAAGCGUUGUCCGGAUUUAUUGGGCGUAAAGAGCGUGUAGGCGGCUGGGUAGGUCCGUUGUGAAAACUCGAGGCUCAACCUCGAGACGCCGAUGGAAACCCCCAGCUAGAGUCCGGAAGAGGAGAGUGGAAUUCCUGGUGUAGCGGUGAAAUGCGCAGAUAUCAGGAAGAACACCCGUGGCUAAGGCGGCUCUCUAGUACGGUACUGACGCUGAGACGCGAAAGCGUGGGAGCGAACAGG
rnacentral:rRNA from 1 species